rnacentral:rRNA from 1 species
GCUUCUUUCCUCCCGAGUGCUUGCACUCAAUUGGAAAGAGGAGUGGCGGACGGGUGAGUAACACGUGGGUAACCUACCCAUCAGAGGGGGAUAACACUUGGAAACAGGUGCUAAUACCGCAUAACAGUUUAUGCCGCAUGGCAUAAGAGUGAAAGGCGCUUUCGGGUGUCGCUGAUGGAUGGACCCGCGGUGCAUUAGCUAGUUGGUGAGGUAACGGCUCACCAAGGCCACGAUGCAUAGCCGACCUGAGAGGGUGAUCGGCCACACUGGGACUGAGACACGGCCCAGACUCCUACGGGAGGCAGCAGUAGGGAAUCUUCGGCAAUGGACGAAAGUCUGACCGAGCAACGCCGCGUGAGUGAAGAAGGUUUUCGGAUCGUAAAACUCUGUUGUUAGAGAAGAACAAGGACGUUAGUAACUGAACGUCCCCUGACGGUAUCUAACCAGAAAGCCACGGCUAACUACGUGC